UAGGGAAUCUUCCACAAUGGACGCAAGUCUGAUGGAGCAACGCCGCGUGAGUGAAGAAGGUUUUCGGAUCGUAAAGCUCUGUUGUUGGUGAAGAAGGAUAGAGGUAGUAACUGGCCUUUAUUUGACGGUAAUCAACCAGAAAGUCACGGCUAACUACGUGCCAGCAGCCGCGGUAAUACGUAGGUGGCAAGCGUUGUCCGGAUUUAUUGGGCGUAAAGCGAGCGCAGGCGGAAGAAUAAGUCUGAUGUGAAAGCCCUCGGCUUAACCGAGGAACUGCAUCGGAAACUGUUUUUCUUGAGUGCAGAAGAGGAGAGUGGAACUCCAUGUGUAGCGGUGGAAUGCGUAGAUAUAUGGAAGAACAACAGUGGCGAAGGCGACUCUCUGGUCUGCAACUGACGCUGAGGCUCGAAAGCAUGGGUAGCGAACAGG
rnacentral:rRNA from 2 species